rnacentral:rRNA from 1 species
AACCGGGAGAAGACUAACAGGAUUCCCCUAGUAACUGCGAGUGAAGCGGGAAAAGCUCAAAUUUAAAAUCUGGCAGUCUUUUGGCUGUCCGAGUUGUAAUCUAGAGAAGUGUUAUCCGCGCUGGACCGUGUACAAGUCUCCUGGAAUGGAGCAUCAUAGAGGGUGAGAAUCCCGUCUUUGACAUGGGCUGCCAGGGCUUUUGUGAUGCGCUCUCAAAGAGUCGAGUUGUUUGGGAAUGCAGCUCAAAAUGGGUGGUAAAUUCCAUCUAAAGCUAAAUAUUGGCGAGAGACCGAUAGCGAACAAGUACCGUGAGGGAAAGAUGAAAAGAACUUUGGAAAGAGAGUUAAACAGUACGUGAAAUUGCUGAAAGGGAAACGCUUGAAGUCAGUCGUGUCGUCCAGGGAUCAACCUCGCUUUUGCUUGGUGCACUUUCUGGUCUGACGGGUCAGCAUCAAUUUUGACUAUUGGAAAAAGAUCAAGGGAAUGUGGCAUCUCUGGAUGUGUUAUAGCCCUUGGUCGCAUACAAUGGUUUCGGGAUUGAGGAACUCAGCACGCCGCAAGGCCGGGUGUCAAAACCACGUACGUGCUUAGGAUGCUGACAUAUAUAAUGGCUUUAAUCGACCCGUCUUGAAACACGGACCAAGGAGUCUAACAUGCCUGCGAGUGUUUGGGUGGAAAACCCGAGCGCGUAAUGAAAGUGAAAGGUUGAGAUCCCUGUCGUGGGGAGCAUUGACGCCCGGACCAGACCUUCUGUGACGGUUCCGCGGUAGAGCAUGUAUGUUGGGACCCGAAAGAUGGUGAACUAUGCCUGAAUAGGGUGAAUCCAGAGGAAACUCUGGUGGAGGCUCGUAGCGAUUCUGACGUGCAAAUCGAUCGUCAAAUUUGGGUAUAGGGGCGAAAGACUAAUCGAACCAUCUAGUAGCUGGUUCCUGCCGAAUUUCCCCCUUCAGGAA